rnacentral:rRNA from 1 species
UACGAAGGGGGCUAGCGUUGCUCGGAAUCACUGGGCGUAAAGGGUGCGUAGGCGGGUCUUUAAGUCAGGGGUGAAAUCCUGGAGCUCAACUCCAGAACUGCCUUUGAUACUGAGAAGCUUGAGUCCGGGAGGGGUGAGUGGAACUGCGAGUGUAGAGGUGAAAUUCGUAGAUAUUCGCAAGAACACCAGUGGCGAAGGCGGCUCACUGGCCCGGUACUGACGCUGAGGUGCGAAAGCGUGGGGAGCAAACAGG